CUUGCUCCUCUGACGUUAGCGGCGGACGGGUGAGUAACACGUGGAUAACCUACCUAUAAGACUGGGAUAACUUCGGGAAACCGGAGCUAAUACCGGAUAACAUGUUGAACCGCAUGGUUCAACAGUGAAAGACGGUCUUGCUGUCACUUAUAGAUGGAUCCGCGCCGCAUUAGCUAGUUGGUAAGGUAACGGCUUACCAAGGCAACGAUGCGUAGCCGACCUGAGAGGGUGAUCGGCCACACUGGAACUGAGACACGGUCCAGACUCCUACGGGAGGCAGCAGUAGGGAAUCUUCCGCAAUGGGCGAAAGCCUGACGGAGCAACGCCGCGUGAGUGAAGAAGGUCUUCGGAUCGUAAAACUCUGUUAUUAGGGAAGAACAAAUGUGUAAGUAACUAUGCACGUCUUGACGGUACCUAAUCAGAAAGCCACGGCUAACUACGUGCCAGCAGCCGCGGUAAUACGUAGGUGGCAAGCGUUAUCCGGAAUUAUUGGGCGUAAAGCGCGCGUAGGCGGUUUUUUAAGUCUGAUGUGAAAGCCCACGGCUCAACCGUGGAGGGUCAUUGGAAACUGGAAAACUUGAGUGCAGAAGAGGAAAGUGGAAUUCCAUGUGUAGCGGUGAAAUGCGCAGAGAUAUGGAGGAACACCAGUGGCGAAGGCGACUUUCUGGUCUGUAACUGACGCUGAUGUGCGAAAGCGUGGGGAUCAAACAGGAUUAGAUACCCUGGUAGUCCACGCCGUAAACGAUGAGUGCUAAGUGUUAGGGGGGUUUCCGCCCCCUUAGUGCUGCAGCUAACGCAUUAAGCACUCCGCCUGGGGAGUACGACCGCCAGGGUUGAAACUCAAAGGAAUUGACGGGGACCCGCACAAGCGGUGGAGCAU
rnacentral:rRNA from 1 species